GACAGAGGGUGCAAACGUUGUUCGGAAUUACUGGGCGUAAAGCGCAUGUAGGCGGCCUAGCAGGUCGGAUGUGAAAUCCCUCGGCUCAACCAAGGAAGUGCAUUCGAAACCGCAAGGCUGGAGUCCCGGAGAGGAUGGUGGAAUUCUCGGUGUAGAGGUGAAAUUCGUAGAUAUCGAGAGGAACACCGGCGGCGAAGGCGGCCAUCUGGACGAGGACUGACACUGAGAUGCGAAAGCGUGGGGAGCAAACAGG
rnacentral:rRNA from 1 species